UACGUAGGGCGCAAGCGUUAUCCGGAAUUAUUGGGCGUAAAGAGCUCGUAGGCGGUUUGUCGCGUCUGCCGUGAAAGUCCGGGGCUCAACUCCGGAUCUGCGGUGGGUACGGGCAGACUAGAGUGAUGUAGGGGAGACUGGAAUUCCUGGUGUAGCGGUGAAAUGCGUAGAUAUCGAGAGGAACACCUGCGGCGAAGGCGGGUUGCUGGGCUGACACUGACGCUGAUGCGCGAAAGCCAGGGGAGCGAACGGG
rnacentral:rRNA from 1 species